AGAGCGAACGCUGGCGGCAGGCCUAACACAUGCAAGUCGAACGGACUCUUCGGAGUUAGUGGCGGACGGGUGAGUAACACGUGGGAACGUGCCUUUAGGUUCGGAAUAGCUCCUGGAAACGGGUGGUAAUACCGGAAUGUGCCCUUCGGGGGGAAAGAUUUAUCGCCUUUAGAGCGGCCCGCGUCUGAUUAGCUUGUUGGUGAGGUAAUGGCUCACCAAGGCUACGAUCAGUAGCUGGUCUA
rnacentral:rRNA from 1 species